CCUCCCCAUAUUCUAACCAAACCCCAACUCUGUAACCAAACCACAACAGCUGCCAUAGACGACUUUUUAAAUUUCUUCAUAUUCCCCAAAGAAAAUUCAGCAAGCUCUUCAACCAAAUAUCUGUUCGCCGGAAGUUGCAAGUUCGUCGGAAUCUGGGUAAAGUCGCCGGAAGUUGCAGGCUCGUGGAUGGGGUGGGGUGUUUUAUGUUUAAAAAAAUUAGACACCAUCUCACUUGAGAUUGAUUGAUUGCUUGUUCUGAUUGAAGAUGAUGAUGGUUGAAGGUGAUGGGUUAGAAGAUGAUGAUGAUUGAAGAGGGUAGAUGAUGAAGUGAUGAAGAAAUCUGCAAAUGUGGGUUAAAAAGAAAUCAGGAUGAAGGGGGAGGUGAAAUUACCAUAUUACCCAUCAUGUGAAAUCCAUGUGACCAAGAAGUUAACCAGAGUUGGGGUUUGGUUAGAAUUAGGGGCCAAAAUGGUUAGGUAUAGGGACCAUGGGGGCAAAUACGUUAAAAAUUCUUAUUUUGGGCUAAUAUAGUAAAACUGACAUAACCACAGGGGCCAAAAACGUAAUUUACUCUUAAUGAGAGGAAUUAACAUGUGUUUUGCGUAUGGAAAUAAAAAGUCAAUAAAUGUAAGAAUUCUUUUAUAACCCU